rnacentral:rRNA from 1 species
GAUGAACGCUGGCGGCGUGCCUAAUACAUGCAAGUCGAGCGAACAGAUGAGGAGCUUGCUCCUCUGACGUUAGCGGCGGACGGGUGAGUAACACGUGGAUAACCUACCUAUAAGACUGGGAUAACUUCGGGAAACCGGAGCUAAUACCGGAUAAUAUAUUGAACCGCAUGGUUCAAUAGUGAAAGACGGUUUUGCUGUAACUUAUAGAUGGAUCCGCGCCGCAUUAGCUAGUUGGUAAGGUAACGGCUUACCAAGGCAACGAUGCGUAGCCGACCUGAGAGGGUGAUCGGCCACACUGGAACUGAAACACGGUCCAGACUCCUACGGGAGGCAGCGGUAGGGAAUCUUCCGCAAUGGGCGAAGGCCUGACGGAGCAACGCCGCGUGAGUGAUGAAGGUCUUCGGAUCGUAAAACUCUGUUAUUAGGGAAGAACAAAUGUGUAAUUAACUAUGCACGUCUUGACGGUACCUAAUCAGAAAGCCACGGCUAACUACGUG